UACGUAGGGUGCGAGCGUUGUCCGGAAUUACUGGGCGUAAAGAGCUCGUAGGCGGUUUGUCACGUCGUCUGUGAAAUCCUAGGGCUUAACCCUGGACGUGCAGGCGAUACGGGCUGACUUGAGUACUACAGGGGAGACUGGAAUUUCUGGUGUAGCGGUGGAAUGCACAGAUAUCAGGAAGAACACCGAUGGCGAAGGCAGGUCUCUGGGUAGUAACUGACGCUGAGGAGCGAAAGCAUGGGUAGCGAACAGGAUUAGAUACCCUGUAGUCC
rnacentral:rRNA from 1 species